rnacentral:rRNA from 1 species
CCUACGGGAGGCAGCAGUGAGGAAUAUUGCUCAAUGGCCGGAAGGCUGAACCAGCAAAGCCGCGUGAGGGAGGAAGGCGCAGAGCGUCGCAGACCUCUUCUGCCGGGGGACAAAAGGCCGGACUCGCCCGGUCCUGAGGGUACCCGGAGAAAAAGCAUCGGCAAACACGGGGCCAGCAGCCGCGGUAAUACGGGGGAUGCGAGCGUUAUCCGGAUUCAUUGGGUUACAGGGGUGCGCAGGGGGGCCUUUAAGCCGGCGGUGAAAUCGCGGGGCUCAACCCCGCCUAGCCGUCGGAACUGGGGGGCUUGAGUGCGGCAGAGGCAUGCGGAAUGCGCGGUGUAGCGGUGAAAUGCAUAGAUAUCGCGCAGAACCCCAAUUGCGAAGGCAGCGUGCCGGGCCGCCACUGACGCUGAGGCACGAAAGCGCGGGGAUCGAACAGGAUUAGAUACCCUUGUAGUC